UCCACCGCAGACUCAGACCUCUACCUUUGGA
rnacentral:piRNA from 1 species